UACGAAGGUGGCUAGCGUUGUUCGGAAUUACUGGGCGUAAAGCGCGCGUAGGCUGCUAUUCAAGUCAGAGGUGAAAUGCCAGGGCUUAACCCUGGAACUGCCUUUGAAACUGUAUAGCUGGAGUGUCGGAGGGGAUGGCGGAAUUCCUAAUGUAGAGGUGAAAUUCGUAGAUAUUAGGAGGAACACCGGUGGCGAAGGCGGCCAUCUGGACGACAACUGACGCUGAGGCGCGAAAGCGUGGGGAGCAAACAGG
rnacentral:rRNA from 1 species